rnacentral:ncRNA from 1 species
GGGAACCUGAAUUUGUCUGUAGGUCUCAUGACGUCAGCUCACGUGACAAUACUUUCCCUGCCCAAUUUAGAGGGGACACUUUUUGUUAACGCUCACGCCGUCCCGAAACCGGGCAAGAGGCCAGUAACAGCUGCCGCUCUAAAAAGCGCCCGCCAAAGCUUCUUCGCCAUGAGGCUUGGUGUACGAAAGGCGUUUUACACCGUCAGCCACCACGCCAUCAUUUAGGUCCUCAAGCGUAGAGGACUACCCUUGAGGACCUAAAUCUCUCAUUCUGACUGGUGAGCAAUUGAACUCACCAGUCAUUUUAGUUGUGCUAACGCACAAGUUUACGCUAAUCUAGAAUGGUAUCGAGGUCUUUUUCCCUGCCAGUCCUUAUUAAAAUUUUAUUUCUGCAUGCUUGGUUAACUUGUCUCUAUGCAUUAUGCUUUGGUGUGUGGAUGUUUAUAGUUUUCUUGACGUUACUGUUUGCGGUGUUCCUUGCCUCCAUCCAGAAUACCCCUCAUAAAUACUGUCGUUGUAGUGUUUUUAUUUAAUCUUCCUUUUUGCUGGUGAAAAUACGUCUGAUCUAACGGUUCCUGCCCCUAAAAUAGGGAGGAUAUGCUGAAUUAGCUGCAGCUUUCUGCGCUGCCUUUUUCACUUUGUAAUCCGAUUUUUCUGCCGGUAAAACGUGCACUGGGGUGUUCUACCCACCGACUUCGACGAAAAUGAUAGUACUUGUCAAAUGCAUCGUCACAUUAUUAGUGACGCGCAUGAAUGGACCAACGAGUCUCCCACUGUCCCAAUUUACUACCUAGUGCAACCACAGCCAAGGGAUCGGGCUCUGAAAAAUAUGUAGAGAGAGAAAAUCCCGUUGAGCUUAACACCAGUCUGAGUCUGUGAAGCAAAAAGAUCAUUCUUUUGGUCAAUUCGACCGUAUGCCGCCGGAACAAAUACAUAUAUGUACAUAUAUUUGAGCAUUCAUUCUAGAGCGCAGCAGUUAGGCGCCCGUUUUCAGCUUGAGCGGCGUCGCCGUCGCCGUCGGCGUAACCGCGCGUUGCAUUAUGGGACGUUUCCCAUAAUGACGUCACACGUGACGUCACAAGGGUCACGAGUGAUAUCACUCGUAACCGCGCGUUGCCUUCUGUCACGAUUUCCAUGAUGACGUUACGAGUGACAUCACGAGGGUCACUUAGGUCACUAGCGACGUCGCGGUCACUCAUGAAGGUCACGACGGUCACGAACUUCAGAGUGAAGAUCACGUGAAGGUCACGACCUCACGAG